rnacentral:lncRNA from 1 species
GAUAUAAUUAAAGUAUGCAAUCAAGUUCGAAUUUGAGGUAGCAGACAAAACCAACCGUUGGUGAUCAAACUGCCUCAAUCUGAGCAUAUUUGGAUUUUUUUGCAGCUACCCCACCUCAUCCCAUCCCUUAUAAUCCUUUACUUUCACUUUCCACUCACUCAUCAUGCCCUCUCUUAACAAUUAUGCCCCCCACAGUCAAUAGUCAAAAAAUACAUUCACAACACCCCCAACCCAAAAAAAAAUAGCAUCGCACCUCUUCCAAACACACCCUUUACCCUUACAGCAAUUAGGCAACAACGACUGAAGUUCUUGCCAGUGAAGGUUUGACCGAAAUGCCAAUUCGAGGGUAUAAUGUUCUCAGGAGGUGGGAGGUUCAUCUGUCUUUGCCUGUGACUCAAAAACAAUGUUUUAAAAAAAAAAAUCGGAAACUGGGUUUGAACCGGAAAAGGUACCACCCGGGUCACGGGUCACGUUUUAACCGUCGGGUCACCGUUAUUGAAACGUUAUCGAACUCGUUGACGGUCAAUAAAUUAUUUAUACAUAGAUAAAAAUAAAAUAAUUAGAGAGUUAAUGUCAAUAAGUUAAUAUUGGUGAAAUCAAGUGGAUAUACUUAAAAUUAUGAGGGUUUAAAGUGUGACUUACACCCAAAAAAAGUCAAUAUUUCUCAGUCAACCGUUUCAAUGACCGUUCAACAGUUCAACCGCCGGAUUGACCGGUUUUGACCAAACUGGGUUUUGGUGGAUAACCGGACCAUUUCGCCGACCGGUCGACGGUUCAACCGGUCGAACCGGCCGUUCGAAUCCGGUUUUAAAACCUUGCUCACGAAAGAGCGGGGCCUGGCCCCCAACACAAACAAGCUCCGCCCUUCGCACCUUCAGAUAUUGAAAAAGAAAGAGAUACUAUAAGGCCCAGUUUUUGGAGAUUACUAAAAAAAUAUAUAAACAUGAAAGAGAGAGAUUUUACAGAGCUCACAAUAUAUCAAAAAAAGAGACCAUAUCUAUAAUUGUUGAAGCACACACACACACUGAACUUAGAAAUGAUACAUAAGGCCUAUGUUUGCAAGGAUUGAAAGAAGAACUAUUGAGGAUGGAAAGCUUUUCGGAAUCAACCACCUUUAUUCCAGACACAGAUCUUGCACACGAAAAGCGGAGUGUUUCCUAUAAAACGAAUCUGAAGGCAGAGAAGUAAAUAGAAAAUAAUUUACAGAAGAGAUAGGAGAGAUAUAAACUAAAUGGGAGGACAUGAACCUAAGCAGAGACGUGUGAACAAAAGUACCAAUGGUUGUGUCUGAACUCUUGAGUGAAAUAGAAGAGAAUAUAUAUAGAGCGCUGCAGAGCUUUUGGCUCUUGACUUGAGUUCUGUACGUGACAAAAUAGUUUAGGAGGUAGCGGGGGUGGAAAGAAUGAGAAGAGAGGUUGAUUUGAGGGUCAGAGCAGUCCUCAAUCUUCCUUGAGCCGUGAGCCGAAUGGCACAGAGAGAGGCCGUGUGUGGCGUUGAUAGUUUUUUAAAAUCGGACCCGUUUGGCUUAAAAUUAAACCGAUCUUAGCCGAUUAGAUAAUAAUGAUGUUUUUUAUUUAGGACUGGAAAAAAUAAUUUGAGGGUGAAAUCUCAGUCAUUGGAUGAACUCAGUAAAUUUCACCCGUAGAUAACGAAAAAUAAAUUUUAAAAAAUUCAAUAUAGUUGUGAUUUGUAUUAUAGAUGGAAACCAGACAUCCCCUCAAACUCAAGACCCCUAUCAUGUAUAAGAUACACGUGCGUUCAAUAUAGAGGAAAACCUUUUUCGUGAAAUUGAUAUUUAGCAAAGCAUGGGGACAGGACACCGAUAACUCAGCGUGGAAAUUUUUUUCUAUUAGACGCGUUAGCUGGAGGAUAUUAUGAGGGGAUAACUUUUUAGCUGUGGGGAUAAUUUUUAGAGGGGGGAAUAGUUUUUUUGUUUGAAGGGGGGUAACUUUUCAACUUUGUUUAGAUACUUUUUAUAUAGGGGAUAUAAAACGUGGAUGUAAGAAAAAAAUAUAGAGAGAAAAACAAAAUAGAAUAUUUAGAUAUUAAAAAUAAUAUUUUAUUUCUCUCUCUCGAUAUAAAAAAAACACUUUUUUAAAUACAUUUUGUUUUCUCUUUAAUAUAAUUUUUUUUUAUUCCCCACCUCCUUAUCCCCCCGUAAUAACUUUUAAUUAGGGUCUAAGCCACCCAAACCUGAUCCGUCUUUAUUCACCUCUGAGGGCAUAAAUUAUUCACAUCCAUAUCCCUCCAACCGACUGCCGGGGGAGAAAAAUUAUUCGGGAGAAAAAGUUAUCCUCUUUCUAAAUCCAGUAGCCAAACGACUUCUUAAAGUUAUUGGGAUGUGGACUUAUUCCGAAUUCCUUUUAGCAAUUUGAAUUCUUCAUUUUGUACGUAAAAUAUACGAUUACAAAAUUAUCUAUACAUUUAAUUAAAAAAUGAUAGUUAUAUGAUUAAAUCGUAUUUUCAUUAUAAAAAAAUAGACGAUCUGUUAUAAAAAUUAUACAUUGUUUAUUUUAAAACAAAAAAUAAACUAGUCUCGUGACUAAUAAUACCUGAUCAAUUUAAUUUUUUGAAUGAAUAAUUAUUUUAAUACAUUUUAUAAAAUAAACGAUUCAGAUCAUUAGCAUAUAUAUAUUCUGCGAAGUGAAUAACUUUCCAAUUUUACUGUAAACACCCCCUCCUUGCCUAUAAGCUGUAGAGAGAAAGUCAUUGUUGACAUCAUCAUGUCCCAAUCAUCUUCUAAUGGGUGUAUUGUUCUUUUUUCUUCCGUCUUAUUCCACUUAUAUGUGUACAGUGGCAAUCAAGUAAAAGAGAACACAUGUAUAUUGUAUACAUUCAACAUACCAAUAGAAUGGGCGUGGGGCCAGGAGAAAUGGGGAUACUGGAUCGGUUUUGGGAAUGCAGUAUAAAUGUUUUUGGGGAGGUACCCAAUUAUUUUUUAAGGUGUUCUUCAAGGAUUUUUUUGCGUUCUUUUGUGGUUAGUGUAUAUAUUUUUUUUUUUUUUUUUUGUUAUUAUGAUUAUAAUAAUUUUAAUAUUUUUCUUUAUAAAACAAUCACUUUAAAUUAAUACAUGACAAAAAUAUUUUAAGCUAGGUGGCGUUUGGCGGGGUAGCGGUUGUUUUUGUAAUUGUGAGAUUUUGUACCAGCACGCCUCAUGGGAUUUUAGAACAUGGUAGGGGGGAAUGAUUUUUUUCGUAAAUAAAUUGCAUAUUGAAUCUUCAUAAAUUUUGUUUGAUCCAUACCUUCUCUCCUUAUUUAUAUUAUAAAUCACAAUUCAUUUUGAAUUCAAAACUAUCUUCCGCUAUCCUCCGGUUGAAAUUCAUUUGACUUAAUUCAACGGUUUAAGAUUUCACUUAAGAUUAUUUUUUCCUCACAAAAAUAUUACUUCAUUCUUCUAAAAUGUGUGGGACCCAUAUAGAUUCUUAUCCAAUAGACAAAAUACCUCUAAAGCUGAACAUAUUUUUUAUCCAUUGUGUCAUUUUUUAGUGAAAUUAAUACAAAAAAAACUAAAACACCUCUUUCUUUUUCUUUCAUUUCUCCCCACAUUAAGCCAAAUUUUUUUUUAAAUCAUUGUAAUUUUUAAUUUGCUCUCCUUUUGUAGUAAUGUAUCUCUUCGUAUAUUCAUGCAUGUAUCUUUAUCUAUGUUUAUGUCUUAAUCUGUUUUUAGAUUAUAAAACUCUAACAAGUUGCCUAAGAAUGAGUCUUUUUUUUGAAGCAGUUGCCUGUGGCAUGGGCAAUUCUAUUUUAUAUUAAUAUCACAACUCUUUUGAAUUCAAAAACUAAUCUCCCGCUAUCACUACGGUUGAAAUCCUUUUGAGUUUAAUCCACCAACGGUUGAGAUUUCACUUGAGAUUAAUUUUUUUUCUCCCAAAAUAUUUUUUCCUUCUUCUAAAGAUGUGAAGACCCCACAUAGUUCUCAUCUAAUGGACAAAACAAUUCUAAAAUUAGGCAUAUUUUUUACCCAUUAAAUUAUUUUUUACUGAGACCCACACACAAAAACUAAAACAUCUUUUUAUUUCUGCCAAACUAACAAAAUAUUUUCACCUUACAUGGCACAGAGGAUUUGCUUCUUUUCAGGCCUACACUUUUGUAAGACAGACUUUGGGCCUACGUUUAGCCUUAGUUUCCAAACAUGGGACUCUUCUAGCUGUACACGGAAUCACCUUAUGCUUCCAGCUUCCAGCUUCCAGCUUCCACUAAUGGCUUUAGCCUUUCACUAGGAGUGAACCGGUGCCAUGAAAGCAAACUGUUAAAAGAACAUAAUGCCACGAGUCCGAUUGUUUCAGCCACCAUUAUUAAUAGGGGUAUCAUAGUUUGGAUUGGUUCAGGUUUAAGUAAAACCAAUGACCAAAUUGAAUCGAACAGUACUUGAAAUUUCAAGACUAAACUAAUAUGUAAAAAACCUAUAAUGGCCAAUCAAAUCCAAACCUAAUUCCGAUUCAAAACCAUUAUUUUGGUAGGUAAAUUUCUACUAUACAAUUGUGGGAUAGUGGGUUUGAUGAAUGAUGGAAGAAAAAUCGAAGAUAGACACCCAUGGUGGUCCUGAGUUGGCGAAGAGUGUUGGCACCAAGCUGAAAGCGCGGCGACGCCCUCAACUGCAGCACGAAACAGUAAAGACCGCGGCCAGAGUCUAUUUUCGAAAAUGGCUCUCCGACGGUCAGUUAAUGUCGGAGAUAGUUUAAAUGUAUGUAAAGAGAGAGAGUUAUAUGUUCCAAAAUGUGCAAAAUUUGCGUACCUUGCAAGAAAAAUAGUUUCUCUUUAUUAGCCUAGUUCGGCGCAUUCCUUGACGCGCCCAUUGUCUGUUCUAGGUAGGUGGCUGCCUUACGCAUGCCUCUGCGCUAGUCAGCACUCGUCAGCAUGCGCCGACUCUCCCGGCUGGGUAUGAGAGCUGUCAGAAGAAAUUUCAUCGUGCAAGUUACUUUCUGUCCCCUAACAUCCCUCGAGAUCAUCGCUGGCCGUUGCCUUUCGCUCGAGCUUUUAGCGUAGUUAUUCAUUUCGGGUUUUGCCUAAUAUCGACAGCCCAGUGGUAACGAUUGCCUUAACUCGAACAGUGCUUGUGUUAGAGUUUCUGCAACCGCGGCUCCCAGCGCAGGGGUCCCGCCUCUCUUGUUCCAUAGGGCCCGGUAGCAUCGCCGAGCCCUACCCUCGCAAGGCGAGACUCCGUCGUUGUAUGUUUUUAUUCCCCUUCAACAAUCACCAUAUUGCUAACUAAUUUAUUCACCCCAUAUUCAAAAAUUAACAACUAAGGCUCUGUUUGGUAUGGGCUUUUUUUUUUUUUUUGAUUUUUUUUUGCUUAAAAAAAGCAAAAAAAACUCAUCACCUUUUGGUUUACUGGCUUUUUUUAGUUUUUUGGCUUUUGACUUUUUACUUUUUUCAGUACAAAUCAGAGUCCAAAAAAGCCUAAUUUUUUUUUAGCUGUUUUGGCUUUUUUUCAACUGUAGCGCGGGGGCUAACAUUGCAUUAUGAAAUUUUCAUAUAUUCCCAAAUGCCUUUUAACCUAUCCAACCCCUACCUUUACUAAAGUCUUACCUUUACCAAUCUGGAAGUCUCCGCUCACAGCCCGCACAACUUCUCUUCUCUGAAAUCUUCUCCGGCCAUAGAUCGAGGAUUCCUCCCUCAGCCACUACGCCAACCACCUCUCACGUUGUCGUCAGCUACAAGAACUCAACUUUGGUAAGAUCGAAGCCUUGUACUUUCUCUAUUGUUGAUACUGUUAUUAUUAUUAUUUUUUAAUCGGACUAUUCUGGGUAGACAUACAUAUUGGAUUUGUGUUUUACAUAUAAUGAAAGCUUUUGAGUUGAUACGUUAAUUAUAUUUAUGUUUAUUUCUUUAGUUUGUUUAUUAGAAGUAAGGGUAGGAAUAUAAUUUAUACCUUUGUUAUUAGGGUUAUUUAAAACUUCUUUUUUAUCUUUCUUGUAUCUUAUUUCUAAUUCCUAUGAAAACACUAGCCUCCGUUUUUCUCUAUUUCUUGGUCUUCCUCACAUGUAUCAAGCGCAUGAUCCUCUGGGCCUCCAUCCUAUGAUUGCAGAAAGGAAUUUAAAAUCUCAUUCAACAUUUGAAAUUUUUUUCGGGUACCAUUAUUUUUUUUUAAAGAAUCCGUAGUUUAUCAGUUACAUAGUUUUUCGCAUCUCUGUUUUUUUUUUUUAAGAUCGAAUAUUCUCCCUAGUUGAUUGGGAUUCUAGUAUUAUUAUUUUUUUUACGCAAUGGCUGUUGAACGGGAGGAUUCACCUUCAGGCUUAUCAGCACGAGAUUGGAUGGCAAGAAUGAUUCGUAUUGGAGUUAUGUUAUGAAGAAUGUUGUGAAAGGAAAAAAAUGUGGGGGUAUGUUGUGGGCAAACCAUGGGUCAACCUACAGAUCUCCAUGAUGAAAAAUUUGCAGAGAAGUAGAAUUUGGGAUGUCAAGAUUCCAAAUCAUCACUUGGAUCAACAACUCUGUUGGAUGUCUCAAAUCUGCACACAAUUGGGCAAAGUUAUGAAACAGUAAAGGAAAUUUGGGAUCACUUGAAGAGCGGAUACCUAGCUAUAAUUUUGCAAGGCAGUACCAAUUGGAAUCUGAUUAUUCGGCUCUUGUUUCAGAACACUAUGGGUAUUCAAGAAUUUUAUCUUACAUGUCCGGAUCUUUGGGACCAACUGGCACUAACAGAAUCUGCGAAGUACAAGGGUUUGCACCAUACAUGCUUUCGUAGAAGGACAACGAUUUGUGCAAUUUCUGAUGGCUCUUCGUGAUGAUUUUGAGGUUUCUUCGUCGUUCAAUUUUGCAUCGCAACCAUUUUCUCGGUAGAUUUAUGUCAGUGAGCCUUUUAUAGGCAGAGGAGAUCGGCUUCAGUCGCAGUCCAUCCAACAAGGGCAUUCUUCCAGCCCGAAUCCCUCUAUUGUUGUAGUGCCUAACCAACCACCUCAGUUCUCCAUCAAGGGCCAAAGGUUAGAUUUGAUGAAUGCAGUUUUUGGAAGGCAAGGUCACUAGAAGAUCCAAUGUCCCAUGUUACCUAAUCGAUCUCAGAAUACGUCUCAACAAAGGAGUUCGGGGCAACCCGUCCCACAGAGCAUACGGCCUCCUCAGUCUAAUACUGCAACAACGUCCAUUAUCCCCGAUCUGGUUUUGGAGCUCGCACCCGUCCUUCCAAUCCAAAAUGGCUGCUCUUGCUGGUUCAGUUUCGCGUUUUUGCACACUCAACCAUCUGUCUAUGUCCUGCCUCAUCCUCUUAUCGGUUUAUCUUCUCCUAGUUCCUCAGGUAUGUUUUUCGUCUUUAUGGGUUUUAGGACUCUGGCACCCUCUCAUCAACAUGUCACCAGACUCGUCUAUUUUUACUAUCAUUGUCUCCUGCAUCACUGUUAACUGUCAUGUACUGCUGAUGGCACCCCUAUGCCUUAUCGGUGUUGGGUCUUGUAAUUCAACUAAUAUCUCUUUCUAAACGUGUAUCACAUUCUAGUCUUUCCUUAAAUCUUGUUUCUGUUAGUCAAUUGUGUAACUAAUCUUGUUACUUUUGUUUUUUUUUUCCCCUUCACUUCUUAUAGGUGCAGACUCGCAAACCCAAAAGCUAAUUGGGAAGGCCAUAUGCAGGGAGAUUAUAUAUCUUGCCCCACGGAGUGUCCUCAGUCUGCUGCUACUACUGGUGUCGAUUUGUCACUUUUGUUCGUUUGAGUCCUUCUUCCUUUAGUUUUUAGUUAUGGCAUUCUCGUUAGUCAUGUCUUGUCUUUCUCGUUUUAAAGUAUUUAGCUUCUAAACCGGAGCCUUAGUAAUUUGUCAGCACAUGAUAUUUCUACCUGCCGUGGUUGUAAACAGCACAAUUUUCUGCCUCUACCUUUUGAUAGAAGUAUCUCUUAUUCUCUUGGCACCUUUUGUUAGUUCAUUCUAUUGUGGGAUUGUCCCUAAUUGCUUACCAAAGGCGGAUCUCAUUAUUAUGUUCUUUAUUGAUGAUUACACUCGUUAUUGUUGGGUUUAUCUUAUGAAAAAGCGUUCUGAAUUUUUGGAUAUUAUAAAUCCCUUUCGUGCUCUCGUGAACACUUUUGAUUUUCCAAUCCGUUGAUAUUCCCAAACACUGGGCUUUCCUCUAAAGCAUUCAACAUUUUUAAAAACAGCAAACACACCAUUCAAAUCGUUCACCGAAGGGUUUACAUACCCAAUAUAUGCCAUCUAGACUUUUCUUCUUCGACUUUCAACCGAAGGUAUUACUUACCAUAUCCGGGCCUACUUCUGAACUUUCACCGAAGGUUUGACAUCCAAUGUACACACGAUCGCUAUCUCCUCCCCGUGUGGUUUUCCCGGUAUAUAUAAUAGCGGUCAUUUCUCAAAACCAUUUCCAUCCAAAUCAAUUCUCAAAACUUUUUCACGUAAAUCAUUCUCAAAAAAAUCAUUUCCCUUAAAUCAUGUUCACGUAACCAUUCUCUAAAAUCGUUUUUUUAAUAAAUAAAAUCAAAAGAUUGCAUUUGCCCAAUGCCACAUGCAUCAAACAUAAUAUGCAAUUACCAUUCUAUCAAUAUAAACUAUCAUUGGAAACCAUUCAAUGCAUUUAAUGUAAAAACUUUAUCCAACUCAUUCUUCAAAAAAAAUAAUUUCAAAAAUUUCACAUACACACAUGUUACCUUAUCAAAUUAAAUAAUUCAACAAUAAAAUAUACAAAAUAUAGUCAUGCUCAAAAAUAAAACUAUUGUAAAAAAACAAUUUUAAAAAAAAAUUUUUUUUUUUUUUUACGGUUCAAGGUGGUCGACAACUGAAAUCUGGUGUCGACAACCAAAUAUCGUAGCCCAAAUUUCGAAUUUCCUAUUCCAAGGUGUCGCCAUCUGAAAAAUCUGGUGUCGACACCAAUGUCCAGUACCAAAAUCACUGUUCAAAGGUGUCACACCAAAUCCUAGUGUCGACACCAACCCAUCAGCGGUCAUUUUCAAAACUUGUCAGUUUUCAUCUAACCAAAUUUCUCCUUUAGGGUUCUAUACCGAAAAUAAUACUUAAUGGACUUUAUAAAAUUCAUUAACAAUAAAACCAAAACAAAACCAUACAAGAAAACUCCUUUUACAACAACGCCAAAUAAGGUUUUCAACAAUUACUCCUCCUUUUUAACUUUCCAUUGUAAGAUCAAUGUUCCAUUUUAAGUUCAAUACACUCAAAAUAUGUGUCAAUAGACUUAUAUAAGCAUUAACAAGACAACCAAACUAAACCCCACAAAGAUCCACCCUUUACCUCCAAUCACGCAAUGCAAUCUCCCAAAAUUGUGAGGCUCGAAAUUUUAAUUGCUCCGAUUCUAAAUUUCUGCUCCACGCGUAGCCCUCGUCGAGUAAUGAUAUUCUCCCCAAGAUCACUAUCAAAAAUCCCCUCAUCACUAGAUCUCAGCUUCAAUGCCAAACCCUUUUGGCUCAACUUGAAGAGAGAGAGAAGGUAAAGGAAGAAGAAGACCUCUACAAAAAAUAAUAUAAUGCUAAUAUUAUUGUGUUUAGGUCAAAUAAAAUGACACCCAUGCCCUUCCUUGGGCCCUUGGACGUUGUUUUGGCCUCAAGGCACCAAAUCCAAACCACACCCAUUUUUGGUCCAAUCUAUUUGACUUCAUUUAUCUCACACCUCCACUUCCACACUCAAUUCAAUUCCACUAAAUUUCUCAUGGGCCCAAUUAAAUUUAAAUGGGUCCUAGUAUAUACUAAAGCCCGUACGAAUAUAUAUACAUAUACAUAUAUAUAUGCACACUUGGUCAAUGAUGACACCACAUGCGUCAUAAUAAUCAAAAAAAAAUUUGAACCCUUACAAAUGUUUACCAAGUCACCUCUCGCUUCCGUCGCGCUUGUCGUUUUUUUGUUUGGGCAACUCUCGAUACGUGUUACGACUGCAUCGUGAGUUUUAGGGGGGCGUUAGAUUAUAUUUAUGUUAUUUAUUUUGUUAUUAAAGUAAGUGUAGAAUAUUAAUUUAUUACCUUUGUUAUUAGGGUUAUUUAAACCUUUAUCUUUCUUUGUAUCUUUAUUCUAAAUUCAGAAACCCUACCUCCUUUUUCUCCUAUUUUCUUGGUAUUCCUUAC